CGGGCAGACUAGAGUGCGGUAGGGGAGACUGGAAUUCCUGGUGUAGCGGUGGAAUGCGCAGAUAUCAGGAGGAACACCGAUGGCGAAGGCAGGUCUCUGGGCCGCAACUGACGCUGAGGAGCGAAAGCAUGGGGAGCGAACAGGAUUAGAUACCCUGGUAGUCCAUGCCGUAAACGUUGGGCACUAGGUGUGGGGCUCAUUCCACGAGUUCCGUGCCGCAGCAAACGCAUUAAGUGCCCCGCCUGGGGAGUACGGCCGCAAGGCUAAAACUCAAAGGAAUUGACGGGGGCCCGCACAAGCGGCGGAGCAUGCGGAUUAAUUCGAUGCAACGCGAAGAACCUUACCAAGGCUUGACAUGCACGAGAAGCCACCAGAGAUGGUGGUCUCUUUGGACACUCGUGCACAGGUGGUGCAUGGUUGUCGUCAGCUCGUGUCGUGAGAUGUUGGGUUAAGUCCCGCAACGAGCGCAACCCUCGUCCCAUGUUGCCAGCGGGUUAUGCCGGGGACUCAUGGGAGACUGCCGGGGUCAACUCGGAGGAAGGUGGGGAUGACGUCAAAUCAUCAUGCCCCUUAUGUCUUGGGCUUCACGCAUGCUACAAUGGCCGGUACAAAGGGCUGCGAUACCGUAAGGUGGAGCGAAUCCCAAAAAGCCGGUCUCAGUUCGGAUUGGGGUCUGCAACUCGACCCCAUGAAGUCGGAGUCGCUAGUAAUCGCAGAUCAG
rnacentral:rRNA from 1 species